UACGAGGGGUGCAAGCGUUAUUCGGAUUUAUUGGGCGUAAAGGGUGCGUAGGUGGUAUGUUAAGUCUGUUGUUAAAUUUUCCGGCCUAACCGGAAGCAUGCAAUGGAAACUGGCAAACUUGAGGAUGGAAGAGGGAAGUGGAAUUCUCGGAGUAGCGGUAAAAUGCGUGGAUCUCGAGAGGAACACCGAUGGCGAAGGCAGCUUCCUGGUCCAUAGCUGACACUGAGGCACGAAAGAGUGGGGAGCAAACAGG
rnacentral:rRNA from 1 species